rnacentral:rRNA from 1 species
UACGUAGGGUGCGAGCGUUGUCCGGAAUUAUUGGGCGUAAAGAGCUCGUAGGCGGUGUGUCACGUCGGCCGUGAAAACCUGCAGCUUAACUGUGGGCGUGCGGUCGAUACGGGCAUCACUGGAGUUCGGCAGGGGAGACUGGAAUUCCUGGUGUAGCGGUGAAAUGCGCAGAUAUCAGGAAGAACACCGAUGGCGAAGGCAGCUCUCUGGGACGGUACUGACGCUGAGACGCGAAAAGCGUGGGGGAGCGAACAGG